rnacentral:lncRNA from 1 species
AUCCUGAGCUCUUGCCUGAUUCAGUCUGAUCAUGCACACAGUCCCUCUUCUCUGUCUGGCUGCUCUAAGCACCUCAGCACUAAUAACUUGUCAUCCUAUACAAAAGGAAACAAUCCAAACAGAUUUAACAAGAGAAAAUCUGAGCAAUAUGGAGACCAUGAUCAGUACAUACGGAUAUUUCCUGAUGAUGAAAUUUAGUAAAAGAAUGAGGAAAGCCAUUUCUCGAGAGUCCAAAGUAGCUGCUUUACUGAAGAAAAGAAGCAAGGACUGCUUCUUACUACUUCAUAUUAAAACAAAUAAUAUAAUGUGCUUGGAUAGAACUAAAAACACAUAUAUUUCAGUUGAUGGCAUUAAUAAGGACUGCUUUAAAACAAUUCACGGAAAGAAUUCCCAUCAUGCUUUGUGCCCAUGGAGGAGUGACGCAAUGAUCAAGCUUGUUGGAGGUAAAAGUCACACCGAGGCUUAUAGUACAGAAUUACAUCAUUCUCUGCAGUCAAACAACCAUAAAACACAUCGCGGACAGAGAAGAAGCCAGUAUAUUGACCCAUCUGAUCCCUUGGGAUCUGAGAAUCCAAGGUCAAGGACUGCUAAUUAUCGAAGACCAAAUCGAGAGCAUGAGCACGAGCGCAGCAGUAAUGUUUCUAAAGAAACCAUCACUUCCUAUGACGACCCUUUACACGUACUGCUCUCCAAGAGCCCUGUCAGUCCUAAUUUACAAAAACAGAAGAAACACAAGCAAGUUGCACCAUCUGAUCCAUUCUGA